ACACACAUUGCCGUGUCGAGAAAUGUCAGCGAAAAGGGCUCAUGCGGGAUCGAGAACUUUUUUGCGGUUUUUCCAUUGCACCACGUCGCACCUUCUUGAAAGGUUCUCCAUUCACUCUCAAAGUCUGAGUCACGCCAGAUGGACAGAACCUAUUCAUAAAGGAAAUCAGUGCUGCAGAUUGUCACAACCAUGAAGCAUCCCUAACCGCAAACCAGUCAAGACUGAAACAACAGCUCCUCUGCUGGUUACAGCCAUCAAACAUUUCAACACUUGCCCAAGCAGAGAAGGCUUAGCAGCAGAGAAAUAUUUUAAGUGAGACAAUUGCUGAAGAUGAAGGCAAACAACACUUGUUCUGGAAAACCUGUCUUCGUGAAGGAUGUUUACAAUAUUGCCUCCCGAAUUCUUUCAAGUCACACAAACAAUUUGCAGGAAGAUUUAACAGUAACAGAGAAACUUGAUGACUCCCUCAAACCAGAACUAUAGCCAUGAUGCUGCUUUGCCUCCUGGUGAGCUGUGGCUCCAUGGUGGUCGAUCACGAGCAGAGCUGUCCUUGCUUCCACGCCGACAAUGAAUUGGGAGAUUCUGAACCAGGAUCCUCAGAUGACGAACAUAUCUGCCAGAGGAAUAAUAUUUGGGCCAUAUGUUGGAGAAAAUGUCUAAAGUCCACAUGCCAGUGAACCUCCAAUACGUCUGGGCAGUAUGUAACCUACAGCAGCAGCGAGGGACAACACAAUAUGGUUGUUUUCCAGUUCUCUCGUCACAUUUACUACAAGGUUUCACAGCCCAUCCCAGAAUUCAGGGUCUGGAUCGGCAAGGAUUAUCCCAAUUCGAUGGACCUCAGGAUGGAUAAGCAUGUAAUAAUAAUGUGUGGUGUGCAACAGCAGCAGUCUGUGGGGUGCAUUUCUCCUUGAGGGAUUAUAAUGACUAUAAUAAAUGUGAAUUUAUAA